UGGGGAAUAUUGCACAAUGGGCGCAAGCCUGAUGCAGCCAUGCCGCGUGUGUGAAGAAGGCCUUCGGGUUGUAAAGCACUUUCAGCGAGGAGGAAGGUGGUGAACUUAAUACGUUCAUCAAUUGACGUUACUCGCAGAAGAAGCACCGGCUAACUCCGUGCCAGCAGCCGCGGUAAUACGGAGGGUGCAAGCGUUAAUCGGAAUUACUGGGCGUAAAGCGCACGCAGGCGGUUUGUUAAGUCAGAUGUGAAAUCCCCGGGCUCAACCUGGGAACUGCAUUUGAAACUGGCAAGCUAGAGUCUCGUAGAGGGGGGUAGAAUUCCAGGUGUAGCGGUGAAAUGCGUAGAGAUCUGGAGGAAUACCGGUGGCGAAGGCGGCCCCCCUGGACGAAGACUGACGCUCAGGUGCGAAAAGGCGUGGGGGAGCAAACAGGAUUAGAUACCCCUUGGUUAGUCCACGCUGUAAACGAUGUCGAUUUUGGAGGUUGUGCCCCUUGAGGCGUGGNUUCCGGAGCUAACG
rnacentral:rRNA from 1 species